GUGAGUGGGCUGACGGGGGGGAGGCGGGUUGGAUGUCUGUGCUACCGCUACCUUGAGAGGUGUUUCUUUAUCCGGGUUUUGACACAUCUUGGCGGGUCGGCGGGUGACUCCGCACUCCCCUUCCCUUAUUUCCCUGUCAGUAGGGCACCAAGGCAUUCUUAUUUAGAAACCGGUAGUGUAUGCAGCACCGACUGAUGUCCGAGCCACAGUUUUGCAUACAGAAAACCAAUCUUCUGAGUUAGCAAUCUCAUUUGCUCUCUGUUCCGUGUCACCGAAGACUCGCAAGACAAAGUGAAGGUCACUGUCCUAG